rnacentral:rRNA from 1 species
UACGGAGGAUCCAAGCGUUAUCCGGAUUUAUUGGGUUUAAAGGGUGCGUAGGCGGCCUGUUAAGUCAGGGGUGAAAGACGGUAGCUCAACUAUCGCAGUGCCCUUGAUACUGAUGGGCUUGAAUGUACUAGAGGUAGGCGGAAUGUGACAAGUAGCGGUGAAAUGCAUAGAUAUGUCACAGAACACCAAUUGCGAAGGCAGCUUACUAUGGUGAUGAUUGACGCUGAGGCACGAAAGCGUGGGGAUCAAACAGG